GACGAACGCUGGCGGCGUGCUUAACACAUGCAAGUCGAACGGAAAGGCCCUGCUUUUGUGGGGUGCUCGAGUGGCGAACGGGUGAGUAACACGUGAGUAACCUGCCCUUGACUUUGGGAUAACUUCAGGAAACUGGGGCUAAUACCGGAUAGGAGCUCCUGCUGCAUGGUGGGGGUUGGAAAGUUUCGGCGGUUGGGGAUGGACUCGCGGCUUAUCAGCUUGUUGGUGGGGUAGUGGCUUACCAAGGCUUUGACGGGUAGCCGGCCUGAGAGGGUGACCGGCCACAUUGGGACUGAGAUACGGCCCAGACUGCUACGGGAGGCAGCAGUGGGGAAUAUUGCACAAUGGGCGGAAGCCUGAUGCAGCAACGCCGCGUGCGUGAUGACGGCCUUCGGGUUGUAAACCGCUUUCGCCUGUGACGAAGCGUGAGUGACGGUAAUGGGUAAAGAAGCACCGGCUAACUACGUG
rnacentral:rRNA from 1 species